UAAAAAAUUAUAAAUUUUUUAUAUUUUUUUAUGCMAGAUCGACUAUGUUGAAUAAAGUUCUAGAUAGUGUUAUGAUAAUGACAUUGCCUAUCUUUGUGUCUUGACCAAAUCACGUGCCAGCAGUCGCGGUAAUACGUGGAAGACUAGUGUUAUUCAUCUUUAUUUGGUUUAAAGGGUACCUAGACGGUUAAAAAAGUCCACAUUAUAAAGGGUACUAAUUAACUAGAGUUUUAUAUGAAAAGGGAAGUACUAANGAGUGGAGAGAUGAAAUUCUGUGAUACCUGCUUUGAGACAGGCAACGGCGAANGCAACCUUUUAUCUAAAAACUGACGUUGAGGGACGAAGGCUUAGGACACCAACAGGAUUAGAUACCCCAGCAGUCUAAGCAGACAAUGAUGAAUGUCAUAGAUNAGAUAAACACCUUUUACAUUAUUUUUUUAAUGUAAAAUGUUAUUAUUUGGUUUAUAAAUGAAAGUGUAAGCAUUCCACCUCAAGAGUAAUGUGGCAACACAUAAAGUGAAAUCAUUAGACCGUUUCUGAAACCAGUCGUGAAGUAUGUUGUUUAAUUUGUCGACCCGCAAAACACCUUACCACAAUUUGUAUAUUUGUAUCUUAAUACAUAUUACAAGCGUUGCACGGCUGUCUUCAGUUAAUGUUGUGAAAUUUUGGUUAGUUCCAUUAAAUUAACGUAAACCCUUGCUUUAGUUUUAUUAUAAAGUAGUUCACCACUAGAUUGGAUAUGAUAAUAGGGAAUAAGACAAGUCAAUCUGGCCUUAAUAUUGUGG
rnacentral:rRNA from 1 species